UAGUCCACGCCGUAAACGAUGGAUGCUAGCCGUUAGGAUGUUUACAUCUUAGUGGCGCAGCUAACGCACUAAGCACACCGCCUGGGGAGUACGGUCGCAAGAUUAAAACUCAAAGGAAUUGACGGGGACCCGCACAAGCGGUGGAGCAUGUUCUUUAAUUCGACGCAACGCGAAGAACCUUACCUACACUUGACAUACUCGUCGGGGAUUUCAGAGAUAAUUUCCUUCGGUUCGGCCGGACGAUGUACAGGUGCUGCACGGCUGUCGUCAGCUCGUGUCGUGAGAUGUUUGGUUAAGUCCAGCAACGAGCGCAACCCCUAUCGUAUGUUACCAGCAUUUAGUUGGGGACUCAUGCGAGACUGCCGGUGUUAAGCCGGAGGAAGGUGGGGGACGACGUCAAGUCAUCAUGGCCCUUACGUGUAGGGGCUAGAAACGUGCUACAUGGGGAGUUACAGUGGGCAGCAACGUCGCGAGGGCGAAGCAAAUCCCUAAAAGC
rnacentral:rRNA from 1 species